rnacentral:rRNA from 1 species
AAUUCGAUGCAACGCGUAAAACCUUACUACCCUUGACAUGUCCGGAAUCCCGAAGAGAUUUGGGAGUGCUCGCAAGAGAACCGGAACACAGGUGCUGCAUGGCUGUCGUCAGCUCGUGUCGUGAGAUGUUGGGUUAAGUCCCGCAACGAGCGCAACCCUUGUCAUUAGUUGCCAUCAUUUGGUUGGGCACUCUAAUGAGACUGCCGGUGACAAACCGGAGGAAGGUGGGGAUGACGUCAAGUCCUCAUGGCCCUUAUGGGUAGGGCUUCACACGUCAUACAAUGGUCGGUACAGAGGGUUGCCAACCCGCGAGGGGGAGCUAAUCCCACAAAGCCGAUCGUAGUCCGGAUCGCAGUCUGCAACUCGACUGCGUGAAGUCGGAAUCGCUAGUAAUCGUGGAUCAGCAUGUCACGGUGAAUACGUUCCCGGGUCUU